GUUUGCACUCAUCGGGGAAGGGUGAGAACCUUCGACUAAGGUUCGAUUCGAGCGAAAGCGAGAGAACGUUGCCACAGGCAACGCCCCGAAGGGUGAGGAGCGAAGCGACGAAUAAUCCUUCCCCCACCACCA
rnacentral:sRNA from 1 species